rnacentral:tRNA from 1 species
AUGUAGCCAAGUGAUCA